UACGUAGGGUGCGAGCGUUAAUCGGAAUUACUGGGCGUAAAGGGUGCGUAGGCGGCGCGGUAAGUCGGAUGUGAAAUCUCGGGGCUUAACUCCGAAACUGCAUUCGAUACUGCCGUGCUUGAGGACUGGAGAGGAGACUGGAAUUUACGGUGUAGCGGUGAAAUGCGUAGAUAUCGUAAGGAAGACCAGUGGCGAAGGCGGGUCUCUGGGAAGUAACUGACGCUGAGAAGCGAAAGCGUGGGUAGCGAACAGG
rnacentral:rRNA from 1 species